AUAUUUUAAAAAUAGUCCUUUUUUACCUUUCAUACAAAAACCUGUUUGCCACCCUAGCUUUUUCAUGUAUUUUUGUUUCAUAAAAUGCGAUACGUAACUAAAUUAUUGUAAAUUUCUUUGUAUUAUCGUUCUACAGUUAUCGCAGUUUCUGUAUCAAAUUGAUUUUCUAUGGGGUGUCAUAAUGAAUUGGCAAUUUAAAGCAAAAAAACAAAAUGAGUCGCUCUCAUUUACUAUUUCGUUAUUUACUCUUUAGUUACGAUUUAUUUCUACUUUCCCAUGGUUUCUGAACAAUUCCGUAUUUAUUUUACACGGACAACAAUAGCUACACUCUGAAUGGCUGUUGGCCUGACGUCUCCGCCAUAACAUCUAUCGCGAAAAUUAGUGAAAACGUGUGUGUUUUGUGGGAUUACUUUUUCGUAACAGGCAGUAAAAUCAGCGAUUUUAUAUAGAACGAAAUGCCGCCAAAAACCAAUGCCGAAAGGCAAAAAGCUUACAGAGAACGACUCAAAAUGGAUAAACAUGAUGGAACAAAAAUAAUUUUAUUAAAAUAGUAUGAAUGAUUA